rnacentral:lncRNA from 1 species
AAAAUUCGAAUCAUUAUUUUUUUUACUAAUUAUUUAGAUAUAUAAUUUGGUUUAAUCAACUGUAUAUCAUUAAAUUUCACCAUAUUUUUUCUUUAUGGGCAUGUAAUUAAAAUCAAAAGUUACUCACUUGGCGUAUGUUUAAUUCACGAAUUUUGCUCGAUGUACAAAUGGAUGGCUUAAAAGGAUAUCUUCUAAUACCCCUUUUUCUUAUUUUUGUACAGAUGUAUGUAUGUGUGCGUAUUUUCCCCUCACUUUGGCAUUUUGUCGAGGAUUUGGCAUGGUCGAUUCUGCAGAAUUUGUUUUCUUCAGAUUCGAGAUGAUUGACCCGUUGUUCUUAUGGUUUGAGGUGUUGGGAGCAAUCUCCUCAUCAGCAGAAUCAUUUCGCAUUGGUUUUGGUCGAUUUGGACGGCCGAAACUCCAUUUCCGCCCACCUGAUGCUCAUCGGAGAGUUGCAGAGGUUUGGGUACGACGAAUGGCACGGUAGAAUAGCUAGUAUGAACUAAAUGAAGUGGCCGUAAAUUUCUUUUUGUUCAUAAUAAUUGUGUCCCUCUCUGUAGCUGUUGUACGAGGAUCCAGUUCAAGAAUCAAGUAUGGGAUUUUACUCGUCGACACUAACAUUAAUCCCAUUUGGUUUUGAACUUUGGUCAAAACGGUCCUUAGUAAACAAACGUGCCAAAACAAUACUAAAAGUGAACUGCAGCAAUUACCUAGCUUAUGUCAGUAUGUGCCAAAUCGAAUUUGCUGCCGUCUGGGUUUAGAUUAAUUUUGAAAUAAGAUCAAAAACCCAUUUUGGGGUUUCACAUUCACGGA